rnacentral:pre_miRNA from 1 species
AGCCUUCUGUAUCCGUACUGAGACUUCGUCCACAAGGGCUGAUGAGACUUCCAAGAUAAGUGAAGCG